AUACUGGCCAGAGACCGAUAGCGCACAAGUAGAGUGAUCGAAAGAUGAAAAGCACUUUGGAAAGAGAGUCAAACAGCACGUGAAAUUGUUGAAAGGGAAGCGCUUGCAGCCAGACUUGCCUGUAGUUGCUCAUCCGGGCUUUUGCCCGGUGCAUUCUUCUGUAGGCAGGCCAGCAUCAGUUUGGGCGGUUGGAUAAAGACCUCUGUCACGUACCUUCUCUCGGGAAGGCCUUAUAGGGGAGGUGUCAUGCAACCAGCCUGGACUGAGGUCCGCGCAUCUGCUAGGAUGCUGGCGUAAUGGCUGUAAGCGGCCCGUCUUGAAACACGGACC
rnacentral:rRNA from 1 species